AAGCAGAAGAGAGGAGCAAGGAGAGAGGGAGGGAGGGAGCGAGGGAGGAGUAGGAGGCGAGCGAGCGAGACGAGGGCACCUGAGAGGAGAAGGGACGCGAGGCGCAGGGGCUGGAGGGACAGCCAAGGGCGGAGGCCAAGACCGUGGGGGGGGGGGAGAAGGACUGGGGGCUAAAUAUGGGGUGCAGCAGACAUGUAAACCUGAAGUAGAGAGAGGGAGAGAGUGUGUGUGGGUGAAUAUGGACUAUAACAGAUGAGAAGAGGGAUUGGGGGCUAAAUAUGGGGUGCAGCAGAGAUGGGAGCCUGAAGCAGAGGGAGAGAGAUUGUGGGGUGAAUAUGGAAUAUAACAGAUGGGAAGGAGGGUUGGGGGCUAAAUAUGGGGUGCAGCAGAUCUGUAAGCCUGAAGUAGAGGAGGGGAAAGAGAGAGAGAGUGGGGUGAGUGUGGAAUAUUACAGAUAGGGAGAGGGAUUGGGGGCUAAAUAUGGGGUGCGGCAGACAGGGGAGCCUGAAGAGGCGGGAGGGGGGUGGAGGUGGUGGGGUAAAUAUAGGGUGUUGUCGAAGGCUUUCAUGGCCGGAAUUACUGGGCUGCUGUGAGUUUUCUGGGCUGUGCGGCCAUGUUCCAGAAGCAUGCUCUCCUGACGUUUCGUCUGCCUCUAUGGCAGGCAUUCUCAGAGGUUGAGAGGUAUAUUGGAAACUAAGUAAGAGAGGUUUAUAUAUGUAUGGAAGGUCCAAGGUGGGAGAAAGAACUCUUCUCUGCUUGAGGCAAGUGUGGAUGUUGCAAUUGAACACCUUGAUUAAUUGGAGGCUUUUAAGCAGAGGCUGGAUGGCCCUCUGUCGGGGGUGCUUUGAAUGCCAUUUUUAUGCUUCUUAGCAGGGGCUUGGACUGGAUGGCCCAUGAGGUCUCUUCCAGUUCUAGGAUUCUAUGAUUAGCAUUGAAAAGGCUUGCAGCUUCAAGUCCUGGCAGAUUUCUGCCUGGAGAAAUAAUUGGUUGAGCAGAAUUAUCUGGCCCUGAUUAUUUCAUGUCUGGAAUUCCCCUGUUUUCUUUAAUCAGGACAGUAAAUAAAAAACAAUACUCUGAAACCGGGGAAUUCCAGACAUGAAACAAUCAGGGCCAGCGAACACCUGCCAACAAAGGAUUCCCCCAGGCAGGAAUUACCCAGGCCUUGAAGCUUCAUGGCUUUUCAGUGGUAACCAAGAUGAUUAAUUGCAACAUUCACACUUGUUUCGAACAGACAAGAGUUCUUUCUCCCAUCUUGGAACUUCCAAAAAACCUCACAACCUCUGCGGAUGCCUGCCCUAGAUGUGGGAGAAGCGUCAGGAGAUAAUGCUUCUGGAACAUGGCCAUACAGCCUGGAAAACUCACAGCAACCCACUGAAAUAUAGGGAAGCAUGACGUGGAUGGAAGAAGAUGGGGAGAAGGGUUGGGGGCUAAGUGGAGAAUAUACCAGAUAGAGGAGCCUGAAAAAGGCGGCAGAGGGGGGGGGGCAUGGGAGAAGCACGGGGUGUACGACACACGAAGCAAAGAGCGAGGGAGGGGAAGAGAAGAGCCGGGGUUGGGUGAGGUGCUUGCAGGCACGGAGAGCGGCGUCUCAGGGCGGGAAAAGGGGGUCAGAAGAAAAAGAAUAGUGGGGAAGGGAGGUCUCCUCGGCUUCUCGGCCGCCUGAGGGUUUCUCAUGGAGACGGGAUGAAGAGGAGAUCCUACCCACCCCCACACACCUCCUAGCCGCCCUUUGAAAUGAAAAGGAAAGCCGGGGUUGCUUUGCAUUCUGGGGGGACCCUCAGCCGGAAUGGCUGUGCGAGGCGCGGUGAUGAUGUCACCUCGCUUGGGAUGAAGGCGGGCGGGGGAUUUCUCCUCGCUUCCCCCAAAAGACGGCCCUGGGGUGGGAGAGACGCCUGCCUCUGCCUGCCUGGGCCAGCCAUGGCUUCUCGCCCUCUUUGGGCCCCUUUGUUUUGCUCUGUUGUGCCUCGCUCCCCAGUUCAGCCCCGUGGAGACAGGUGGAGACUGAGGUGCGGGUCCCUUUUCGCCGCCCAACGAGGUUUCCCUCCCUUCCCUGAGGAGACGUCCUCAUUUGGCAUUAAUUGACAAUAGACAAAGCACGGAGUGAAUGGAUGAAUGAGAGGCAAAACAACAACAAACACCUUGAAUGACGGGUGGCGGACAUGUCUCUGGCAUUUCCAUUUAUUUUUACUACCACCACAGUACCCGCCAAACAACGCUAUGAGCACAAAAGGCAUUCGAUUGCAAUUCUGUCAAAAACUGUCUCUUUUCUCUCUCACACAGACACAAACCCACUCCUGCUGCCUCGUCACACCAGAGCAUGGAUCCACUUUAAAUCCGCUUUCUGCCUCCUGCAGAAUUCUGGGGUUUGUAGUUUGGUGAGGCCCAGGACCUGUCUUGCUGAGCUGUUUAAAGGCCUCUCCCUAAAGUGGAUUUAAGUGCAUCCAAUGUCUAGUGUGAUGCCCUCCUUUCUAUUCAGAAGCAUGUAAUUUAGGUCAAGAGGGGAACCAUUUUGUUACUGCUCUUGUUAAACAUUUCAGGACUCAGAAAUUAUUGGGGACUGGAUGCAAAUCACCCAAAAUUCUCCCAGGGACUAAGGCUCUAUGGUACUUCCAGUCUGGCUCCCAUUUUCAGUCCUGUGACCAUAGUGGGCAGCUGUAAGGGCAGAAGGUGGCUUUUAAGAGAAAGAAACAAGGAGAGACACCCAGGGAUGGUGGUUCCCACAAAGGUAGUCCAGAAAGUGAUAGCAAUUCCAAAGCUUCCACUCCCAUGUUACAAGACAGUACAAAGUGAAGCAAGGCAACAACAUACACUUGCCAGGAAGCCUAAAGAAGCAGAAGAAACCGGGUUGCUGUGAACUUUCCAGGCUCUAUGGCCAUGUUCCAGAAGCAUUCUCUCCUAACGUCUGGCCCACAUCUAUGGCAGGCAUCCUCCGAGGUUGUGAGGGCUCUUGUGGUGCAGAAGGACACUCUGGCAAAGUGUUGUGGAUAGUUUGGUUAUCAAAAGUGAGAAGAUGCUGGUUGAAGGGCCAGUAUUAGAGCUGGAGCCCAGGAGUACCCUGCAGCUCCCUCAGCCAAGCUUAAAAGAAGAGGCUAUGGAAGUAGCUACCACUUCUCAGCCUGUAAAGCAAGUACAAGCAAUGAAAAUGAGUUUGACACCUCCUGUCCAAGCAGAUUGUUAAUCUGAGCCAGGACACUUCCCUCCCUGGCACCUUGAUGUUCUCCACGACAGUACAGGAGUCAGCAUAGCACUCAGGUGGCAACACACGAAAAAGAAAAACAAGAAUGUGUUAUUGCCAUGGCACCUGCCAUUUCUAACAUAGAUUCACUGUCCUGGAAAACUACAUAUGCCAUCUUGGCAUAUGGGAUGCUGUCGUAAUAGUAUUUAAUACAGUGGGGAGGAGUUUUCACACAAAGGUAUCCAAAGAAAUGUGUCUGUCUGUGCCACCACUAUUUCUGUUGCCAAAUAUAUUUAAAAGAAGAGACCUAUGUUGCCCUCCAUAUGAAGUUAUACUGUAACUCCCAGCAUUCAUCACCAUUUACAUUGAUGGCUAGGACAGAUCAGAGUCCACUAGUGUGUGCAAGGCUGCACUUAGCCCACAUCCAAUUCUGCUGUUUGCAGCAGAAUACAGGGAUAUUAAGGGGGAUGGGAAGGCAGAGGCACACAGUUUCAUUAUACAGGUUGAGCAUCUUUUAUCUGGAAUUCUGAAAUCCAAAAUACUCCAAAUCCAGAAUUGUCUACAUGGGUAGCAGGGAAUGUAAUACCUUUGCUUUCUGAAGAUUCAGUGUACACAGCCUUUGUUUCAUGCACAAAAUUAUUAAAAUAUAUAAACUUACCUUUAGGCUAUUUGUACAAGAAAUAUAUCAGAAACUAAUUUAAUGUUUAAACUUGGGUCCCAUCUCCAAGAUAUCUCCUCUUUAUGUACUAUAUGUAUUCCAAAAUCAAAACAUUUCUGGUCCUAAACAUUAUGGAUAAGGGAUACCUGACUUGAUUUCAAAGAGAAAGCGGGAUCAUAACUCAGGGCCUGUAAUAUCACUGUUAGUGAGGCUCCUGUCUCUUUGCAUUGGUUCCUGCAAUUGACUCAUGCCACAGUUGCCUCACAUCUGGAUCAAAAACCCUCCUUUUUCUGGGUUCCUAGACAUCAGGUUUGUUUGUUUUGGAAUGCAUGUUUUGAAUUUCCAAGUAUAUCUCUGUCAUUGCUAAUGCUAUGAAUUAUAACUCCCACGGAGCUAUCUAAUAAGUUGCAAGUGUGUAACACUAUCAGCAUGAAUAUAGCAACAUUAUAUAAUAUUGAACUCCUUAUUAGAUCAUUAAAAUCUGUUGACAUUGCUUUAAUGAAAUGUGAAUAAAGUCAUGAAUGUGG